AGUAAAAUAUAUCAUGAAUUUUAUGUAACUAAAUUACGUAAUAAUCCGUAAGUACACAAGAGUACGCGAUCUACGCAGUACUUUCUUUUGCUCUCACGCACUAUGCGCGGUAUUGUAUGUUAUACGUGAAUCUAAUAGGACGUAUAAUUUAUUUUGUUGAAAAGAAGUUUGUAAUUUAUCGCGUGUGUAUACGUGUUAGCGUAAUGCCAACUAAUUUUUUGAAAACUGCGUAAAUAUAUGUAUAUAUAUAACAUCGUAAUCAAAUAUACGGUACGCGCACGAAGCGAUCAUUAAUUUAAAAAGAAGAGCGACAAAAGCUGGCCCGUUCGGCGACCGGCUCAUCACGGAUUUGAAAUCGAAUCGACAUGAAUUUCAUUCUACGUUCCAUAUAAAUCCUAUUGAAAUGCACGGUGGACAAGUGCCAGAUAGAAUUAGUGAUUUAGAAAUCGAGGACAGUCCCGUGCAGCAAUUAACGAACGCUUGUAAUAAAUAAAUGUAUGUACGUAUGAACGUUUUUCUUCGAGGUUCUCACGUGGAUCGAAAUGACGGGUAUUUUUCGUUGGAAAAUGAAGCGGAAGAAAAAAGAUCGAUCGAUUGCCGUGUAUAUCCGAAACAAUCGCGAGAAGCAAGCUCCCGCCGAGAACUAGUCGGAUCUAAUCUACGUUAGAAAACUUUCCGGGAGGGGGUAAAAAUAACAAUCGGGUGUAUUUUGUAUAAAAAUUAUUAACGCGCUACGACCCCGCCGACGUGCUAAAAACGCCGUUAAAAAAUUUUACCGUCCAAAAUUACGUUCCCUCUAAACUCGGAAUGGGAAAUUAGUCCGGCGUAAUAUGGUUAUACGACGUGUGCGCGUGUGCGUGUGAGUUUUAACUGACUUGCGCGGCGUGAAAAUGCAGGAGGAUAAAAAACGUGAAAAACAAAAGUAAUAGGAAAUUGAACGCUGAAAUUGACCGUCGGAAAUUUCGCAGCUAAUAACGUUACCUUGACGGGACGGGAAUCGCACGCGCUGUCUUCGUCUGCCAUAAUUUAACCGGGUGUAAUUGCCGGUCUCCGUAUAAACGUACGUACCUAUUCUUUGGCAAUAACCGGUCGUUACGACGUUUCUUGGCGCGGACCUAUCUAUAAUAUCUUGUUCGGAGAUGUACUUGAUGUUGAUACGUAUUUCGCGAAGUCGAGACGCGGUUUUCUAAUACAACAAUCGUCGUCGUCGUCGUCGUCGUCGUCGGCAUCCGGAGCAGGAUCAUGUAGCUCUAAUACUGCACGAGUUUGCAACAUCUCAUUUAAUAUGUGCUGCUUUACAAUUUACAUGCUGCAUGUAUCACGAUUAUGAGACGAGGGCAUGUCGGAUGUGCGUAUCAAAUGAGAAAUAUCAUAUUCAUACAGAGAAAUUGGGUCAGUCGGAAGGACCAGCGAAUUGUGUAUUUUUCACCCGAACGAAGUCUCUUUCGAAAGGUGUAAUUCUUGCGAAAAUCAUUGCGAACGUUUAGCUCUCGCGUGUACGAUACGCUUGUCGGGGACGUGUGAAAAAUUGAAGAUUACCAUUUCGUUAAUUUACAUUCCAUAAAAUUUCAUAUGGCGUUAUUCUAUCGGUUUUAAUUUCUCAUUUGUAAUGCGAAGCGUGAAGUCCAUAUCAUGCGGGAUAUGGGCGGAGAUGCUUCCGAGCAUACGUAAAAACCUAUUCAUAUAAAGGGAAAGUGAAGAAUUAUAAACUAUUAGAUGGUAAUGUGCAGGCGGGGUUGAUCAUCGGCCUUUUUUUUUUUCCUCGUCAAUUUUCGUCUUCCCACGCGAUACUUGAAUUUUUUUCGAAUAUAAAUCACCCGUCGGUUCGCCCGUUAAUUUGGUUAAUUUUCGGUUUUCCGAAUCGCGACGCUACGAAAUCCUGAAAUUUUUUCCUUCGUACAAUUACCUAUAAAUUUUCUCGGCGAAACUAUCUUCAAUCUAGAGAUGGCAACGCGCGUGUCGAGACAUCGAACUUUAACCAUCGUUGUUACGAUACCGACUUGGGCAAUUCGACUGCAGAACGUUGUUUCAACGAUGGAAAUAUAUUACGUCAGGCAUAUUAACGUCGUUAUUGUUUCACAUUUGUGCGUCUUUUGCAUGUCAAUGUGGGGUGCAGCGUUAUGGGGGUACCUGAGAGCUCCGCACCGCUGGCAGGCGUACGGUCGAGCUGUAUUUGGUGUAAUUAGCAAAACUCCGUACAAUUAAAUACGCUACCAGAUCCGAUCUAAGAAAUAAAAUCUCUCCGAGAGAUCUAUGUAAACGCGGAGAAAGAGUUGCUCGUUCGUUUUAUCCGCCUUCGCUUUCGUUCACAGUUGCUACGCCGGUUUUUCAACACACGCGUAUAUUAAUUAAAAGGCAAAUACGACAUCACCGCGACAUUUUUCACUUUUUCUAAUCCUGAAAAUUAAUUUUCCCUCAUCCCUAAAUUUUUUUUUUUCAUUUCACUUCGACGCAAAAAGAAGAAAAGACAAAUAUGUUCCGCCGCUUCGCCCGAUAAUUCAUGAUCGCUUCGGCCGCGGGGGGAUGUUCUUUUAUUUUCUCGUAACUCUGCACGAGGGGUGAGAAGUUAUUCUUCCGUUUUUUGUCUUAUGGUGUUUUUACCCCGGGUAGUAAAUUACAGCGUGAUUGAUCGUAUGGAAGGUUGAUUAAUUGUCUCGAUUUUUUUUUUUAUCCAAGUUACUACUCUUUUUUUUUUUUUUCUUCUCUUAUUCUCAAUUUAAACUAUUGUGCAACGCGUCCUAUAUUCGCGAGAUAUGAUGGUUGACGGGAAAUUUUAUUUCCAGCUUCAACGAUCUCGUCGACAACUAGCGAAUAAAUUUGUUCCGCACCCAUUACUUUCGCGCGUGAAGUAAGUACGGUGUACCCUGUACACCCGUGCACUCGCGGGCUGGUUGGAGAAAAUCAAAUUUUUCUUCUACGUCGUCCUACUCGGCGAUGCCGAAGGCCUUUUUCUCCGAGCAUAUUUUCGUAUCAGUCGAGCAGAGAGAAGAAGAAACGUUACGUACGUACGUACAGUCGAUGCGAAAUAUCGGGACUCCGAGAUUGCCUGCAGUGCCACUCGAUUCGUUUCUGAUUUUCUUGUAUUUCAUUUCCCAUUAUUACACCCGUUUUCUCAUCUCUCGAUUCUUAACGGUUCGGUAAAUUGAUCGGAAUUCGCGUGUUCCGCAAAUUUCUUUGAGUAAAAUUGAAAGAAAUUCGUGUUUUUUUUUUCAACAUCGCGUUCUUAGACGUGUAUUUUUUAUUUCAACCUCUCGUUCCAGUAAUUUCAAUUACGCUUACCAAUCAAAUCUCCGCUCAACGAGUAUAUCGGGAUGCGCGUGUAAUAGGUGCCUGUAUGCACACGUGUGCGGAGGUAUAAAUCUUCGUGCAUAAAAGCGGCCGGUGAACAGAUAUAAAAAUAUGUGCGACGAGUAAAUGUAUCGUUGAUAAAUGCACCGCGCUAUCUGAGAUUUAAAAUCCCAGUUGCAACUCUGGUGCGCGCCCGGUGCAUGCCGCUGCUACUGCAGUCGCGGAUUGUCAACAUUUUUCCUUCUUUGCUCACGCCGGGUCCGUACCGGGUGGAAUACGCGGACUGCGUCACGUUGGAAAAGAGAAAAAUUGCACCGACUACCUACCAGCAGCAGCCGGAGCUCUAGAAAUCUAUAUAGUACCUUCCUCGAAUCAGAGCGAGAAUGUGGAAAAUCCUGAAACGUUCCAAUCCUGUUAUAAACCAGCUACCAACAUAUGCACCCGCUUUCCCUGCGCUUCACUGUACAAUCUGCAUUAUAUUUUCAGAAUAAUAAUACUCGAUUUUCAUCCCAACAAAAUUCUCUACCCUCUAGAUUUUUUUUCUACCCUGCAUUCUUACCUCUGAAUUGUUAGCGAUAUCGAUCUGGAUUAUCUGCUAACCGACCGGGGAGAACGAACGAAAAUAAGAAAAAAAUUCUCGCAAUUUUUUUUUCUUCAGAUUUUUAAUUAUCUUUAGUGCGAUUUGUACAGGCUGCAGAAAUGUACGCGUAAUAAUAUUCACUAGAAAGGCGCGGUAUUCAGUUCAACUCCGCUUCGAGAAUUCCCACAGUUUUUUUUCAAGGAAUUUCCAACCGGUUAUAAUUUGAAAAUGCAUUUCGUGAACGAUGAAGUGUUUUUUUUUUUUUUUUCUUUUUUUUUCAUUCACAUCGUAAAGAAUAGUAUCGAUUUUAAAAAAACUUGAUUCCGAAUUCGCACGUACGCGGGAAUCUUACGGGAUGCACGGGGUUUGGAUUUAUCCGGGAAAAUUAUUUCCGCGGAAGAACGAGAUCUCACGAAACGCGGAAAAUCGUUCAGUUUCCGACCAUAAAAAUAAACUAUUACACGGAAUAGUGCGAAAGUAACUUCGAGAAACGUGUUUCGUUUCUAUGAAAACUUUUAUGUACACGUAUAUAUAUAUACCGUAGAGAGAGUGUGUAAGGUUUAUGAUUGAAGUAAUAAGACGUAUCAUUUGUUUAUUUUCUUUUCCAUUCUUCCAUCUUUACGUUAGUCGUUGGAGGAGAUGCGAUAUCCGCAUUUUAUCGGGUCUCCUCUUUUUUCGCUCUAAACACGCAAUUUUUCCUUUUUUCUUUUUUUCGCGCAGCGUACGCGAAAUGAAUGAUAAACGAUACGUCGUCGCGCGCAGGGAAUAGCCCCUCUUUUAGCUGCAGCAGUUUCCAUAUACCUAUGCGGAAAAUAUAAUCACAGAAAAACACAGAACCCUACGGGUAUAUCGGGACGUUUUACGAAAUACACUUACACACGCAUGUUUUAUACCGUGCCAAUGCUCACCGCGAUUUUACACCCGAAUGGUCAUUCGUGCAGCCCGCAGAAGUUGGAAUUGGCGAUGGAUGAAAGGAAAACUAGACACCCGCCUGUGCAGGUGUACAGGUGUAUACGCGUAUAUGGGAUAUUUUUAUUUCGUAAUUUUUUUUAUUUUUUCAAAUAUUCGUACAGAUGCGCCUAGUAGUCUGAAAAUUUCUAAUUUCGCGAAGAUUUCGCUGUAAAAAAUCGGCACGUUACGAAUAUAUCACCUCGUGAUGCAGAUACCGUAGACGCGGUGAAAUCGGUGAAUAAAAAAUCGCUCGUAAAAUAUUAAACGAGAUAGAGAAUAAUAAUUUGAACGUCACCUGUAUGCGAGUAUAUAUAUAUUUUUGAAACGCUGAAAAAUCUUCCACUCGCGAAUGAUUGGAAAUUACCGCAUCCGUUCCAGGUUCUAUACACAUCGGGUGCAGGUUAUCGUUUCAUCCAAUUUUUAAUUAGGAGAUGUAUAAUAAUAAUCUUGAUUUAUUGCGUCCGGUUUCCUAUGAUUAUGUCGAUAAUUUGAAACGAUCUACGGUGUCUAUCGGUGCAUAUAGUGUACCAAUUUAUCAACGUAUUUAUUUUUUCUCUCAUUUCACGUCUUCCUGUCCCUCGAUUCGCUCGGCGUUAUUAUCUUCAUCUACACUGCAUAUUUGCGGAGUCUCGGCUUUCGCCCGCAAGGAUAUUUCUUUCUUAUUUUCCUUGGGUUAUUUUAUUUUUGUUAUUGUUUUUUUGCUUUUUUAACUGCGACUAAAACCGCAGAAUGCAGAAUGCAUCUAACUGUAAGCCUCGUACACGAUAUACGUAAGUACGUACGUAACGCACACGGUGUAUCUGAAGUACCGUAAUCUCUAUACGCUGCGCUCGGUCAGAUCGAUUUAUUUCUUGAUCUUUCACGUCGGGACACAGCUGUGAUCAGGAGAAUUUGAAUACCACGUACAGCAACGCGAACUUUUUAAUUAAAGGUACUACAUUAUUUGAGUGGGAAGAUCGAACGCGAAUAAAAAAUGAAAACGCCUGCUCUCGCUUGGUGAUUUCUAGUUGCGACGGCGACUGGACCAACGACAAUAAUAAUUGAAGCGGAGAUUUUUUCCUAUAGAUUCGACGUCACCUUCGCUUAUUCUUGUUAGCGUAAAAUUGGACGGAAUUGCAAAUUUUCUCAGUGCAGUCGCAAUGAGCUUUUUAUCAGCUUCUCAGAGGGAUAAUAACAUCGUUAUCGCUCGUCUCCAGUCAGGAUAAUCGGGGUAAUAAAAAGUUUUCAAUGCGGUUAAAAUUUCGCGAAUCGAUUACGGAUUGAACUUGAAGGUACGGGUAAUAAGGUGGUGUAGAUAGCCAGUAGGAAAACUUUACUCAAUCGACGAAAACGCGGAAGUCGUAUUGCUCGCGACGCGACUCGUUCCUCAUAUUUUUUUCACUCGAAUUUCCGGCUACAGAUAAUCGCCGAAUUUGGUAGGACGAAGUCGUCCCCUCAGAAUCAUCGAAAAUUAUGCUAAACGGUCGGCCCCGGCUGAAAAUAUUAACUCACAACACAAAACAUCAUCGCCAAACUUUCAUUCCGAUAAUAAAACGGAUUCGAGGCGAUCGCGUAGGUAUCGCUCGGCCUCAGGGAAACUGAAGCUGUUCACGCCCCAUUUUGCCGAGUGAGAACAAGUGUAACGAAUAACGAAACCUAUUUGCGUAUAACGCGGCAAACGUCGCCUUAUAAACGCUUGAGGACACGCCAUUAAUAUUCUAAACACGCUAGUGAAACUGUUCGAUAUGAAUAUAUCUAUCUCAUUCGGUGAAUCGAUUUUCAUCGAGCAAAAAGCAUUGGAAGAGAAAAAAGAAAAAAAAAAAUCAAUCUUUCAACGCAGAUACGGGAUAAAACCGAACGGUUGAAUUAAUUGAGACGUUAAUAUCCGUUGAUUUUCUGCGACGGUGUUGGUAAAUUGCAGUUUGAACAGAGGAUAAUCCAGCGACGCCCAUUUCGCCCAGCGAACGCGGCAGCGGGAUGAUGUAUAUUUUGUACGUACAGCGAGAGAGGUAAUUAGUGCGGUAAAUUGGAACUGGGAACAGGUAACAGGUGACAAGUGUAAGAGGUAACAGGUUAUUUUAACCAACUGGUAAUUGUGCGCAACGAUUCUGUAAAUCUAUUUUGAAAUCCGCGUUAUUUUUCCCACGACAACAAUUAUUCUACCGCGAUGAAGAGGCGGGCGUAAUGAAUGGUUGAAAUUCUAUUCGAGCGAAAGGUACGCUAGUUUUUUUGUCCGACGAUUAACUAAUUCAGUUACCGUAUUUUUUGAAAUAGUGAUAUUAUUUUUAACGCAAUUAUACGCUGAUAUUGGAUAACGGACGAUUUUAAACAGCGGUGUACGCGAACGUAGACAUAUUUGACAUAUUUAUAACUCAUCGACUUUCUAAGCGACAUCGAUUAAUUUGAAAGUUUUCCGUCUAGUAAUUCCUACCGGGUCAUAAAUUUGGGACUGAUUUAUAUGUACGUGAGACUUUCGUUUUCAAAGUUAUGGCGAAUUUUUGAAUUUCGCCAACAAACUUGAAUUCAUUGGAAUGCCAUUUUCGAGACAAAAUCGCCCACGAUUUUUUGACCCGUAAUUGCGAACCGUCGAUUCGUACACCUGUGCAAACCGGAAGUCCGCACGUCGAUCGCUGUUGUACGUAGUUUUCUUUUUUCCAUGGUCAUCUAGGUUGCCACUUGCUUCGAAGUGUUACAGUUUUCGCGCGCGCUCGCGCGCGCGCCCAUUCCUCACGAAUGGUUUAUAUUAUAAUGAUAUUCCGUCUGCGAUCGGUUCUUCCAUCGGUACAAAAAAUAAAGGAAACAAUUAUUUUCGGUCUUGUGCGAGCAACACCGCGGAUGUAUACUCGACCCGGCUAUCGAUUUGAGAUUUUUUCUCGCCACUCAUUUUCCGCAAGACUGACAACGAAUGCGGGACGCUGGACCGAAAGAGAGAAAACAGAAGAGGAAACGAAUGAAAAAAACGAAAAGAGGAACGAGCUGGGAACUUCUGACUGACUUCUUCUACCUAAUGGUCCACCUGGAUCGUCGAAGUCACGCCCGACUUAAAUGCAAAGAUAUGGAUCAUCCCGUUAAUCACGAUUGCUCAAUUUCGUUCGCAUUCGAAUCCAGAUAAGUGCGAAUAUCAAGGU